UUUUAAAUUUUUAUAUUAUAAGAAUAUAAGGUUAGGCAUAGGUUUUAACCGAAGUGCAGGUAAACGUUCAGUAAAUGAACGAAUCAUGAAACAGUGUGUCCGAUAUAUUGCGUGAAACGAACGAACGAAUGAACGAUAUCUAUUUUUUUUGCGAUCCGGAUCAACUCAUUCACUGAUAUGACCCAUUCAAAAAGACCCCUUCGUUCGUGAACGACCCAUCACUAGUAUGUAGGUGUUACGCUGUGUUUAAACAAUUUGUCUAAAAAUUCACGUUUUUUUAAAAUGUAUAUUAUCAAAAUGCCGAAAUAUUCGCUCAGUGGUUUUGUAAAAGAGUUUGGGUAUAAUUUAUAAUUUUUUUUUUCAUAUUAAAUAUGUGUGUUAUGUAAUAAAAUAAUUUUAAUUAAUUUACAUUAAAAAGCACGAAAAUCACCUUGGUUUGAAUAAACAGAAAAAUAUUAGUGAAAAACGCUGUUGAUGCUAAAUUAUUAGCUCAAAUUUAUAUAAUAAAUAAGAAAAAUAGAACAUUGAUAACUAAAUAUACAGAAAUAGCAAAGAAAUUCCAAAUCCUACUAGACAAAACCAUUUAUGAACCUCAUAAAACAGAGUAUAUUUCGGUAGAACCAAAAGAUAAGGAAUUAAGUUUAGAGGAAAUCAAAACAGCCAUAAAAAUUUGAAAUAUUAUAACUCUGCAAGAAACAAUGAAAUAGCAUUACAAUUAUUAAGAAGUGUAGGAGAUAAUCUAAACAUAAGGAUAUGGAACUUAAUAUAGGACUUAUGGUAGAGGAAAAAAAUACCAGAGAAAUGUUACAUAGCAAUUUGUCCUAUUUAUAAAAAAGGAUAUCCAAUGAAUUGUGGUAAUUAUAAGAGGAUUCAUUGCUAUUUACGACAUAAAAAAUUCUCUUUGACAUAAUUCUUAAUCGCCUAUGGCCAUAUGCAAUAGACAUCAUAGAAGACUACAAAAGAGGUUUCUUAGUGGGGAAAUAGACAAUUGAUCAUAUACUUAUGUUCAUGUAACUAGUAGAGAAUUAUUAUAAAUUCAAUAAGAAACUACGUUUACUAUUCUUGA